UGCAUGACAUCAGGCCAAAGUCAAACACAGGCGCCUCCCACGCCAGGGACCUUUGGCCCAGCCCUGAGGCCGGCUCAGACAGGAAGCUUUCCAGGGAAGGGGCACAGCACUGCAGGGAGGCAGCUAAGGCGGAGGUUGAGGGAGGCUGACAGCCUCGCCUGCUCCUGCCCCAGAGCCGAUGACCUGCAGGGUGACUGAGAACGGACAGGAACGGCAGCAGCGGCCACUGGUCAGACGAAUCGUGGACCCUGAGGAAGUCCGCCGUUUGAUAUCCCGUCGGUCUAGCGGACCAUCUAGCCCGUGCCUGGAGGGUCUGCCACUGUAACAAAGAGAAGCUGCCUCCAUUUCCAACCCAGACCUCCCCGCCAACUACCUGCCUCACGUUCUCGGUGUUCACUCCCUGCCUGUUACUGCCUCGUGCUCCUUCCCAAGGGGCCCUAUCCCCUCUGCAUCCCGCAGCGGAACCCAAGGGCAGGACGAGCCGCGCCAGGCCGGAGAAGCUGCGCGGGAGUGGUCCUCCCGGAAGUGGGCCCCCCCACGGGAUUCCCCCGCCCCCAGGCUCAGAGCUCCGAACCCACCUGCCCCAGUGCGGCUGCGGCCAUGAUCGGUGCGGCGGGUAACUGUGCCCGCCAGGGGCGCGCCCUGGGAGAGAGACGUUCCGGCUCCGCCCCGCUCACGCCCUCUCCGGCAGGGUAACAGGGGGCCACGCGAGACCGGCCCGGCCUCCCCUGCUGGAGGGUGCCCCGGGACUCGGGCGCUGCUGCUGAAUGCACGCGCUGGGAGGGGCGGGAGUUGAUACCCCCUGCCCCAGCCCCCACCGGGCCUGUUCAGACACUCCGAGCAGUGCGAGAUCGUGCCCACUGCAAGUUCCAAAAAUGCAUUCUCCUAGGGUCUGCCUGGAGCCCUGGCGCGGACUAGCAGGCCAGGUAACGAGGGGGAGGGUAAGAAGCAGAAAGCUCCGUGUGUCCACCCCUCCGGAAAAGGAAAAGCACCCUGGGCACAGAGGCGAGGUCUUCAGAAAGUUCACGGAGAAUGUGCAUUGUGGGAAAACCACACGGACCUCAAGUGUUAUUGCACCAAAAUAAACUUGUGCUUUAAUUCCA